rnacentral:rRNA from 1 species
GGGAGGAGGCUCUUCUAGUUAAUACCUAGGAUGAGUGGACGUUACCCGCAGAAUAAGCACCGGCUAACUCUGUGCCAGCAGCCGCGGUAAUACAGAGGGUGCGAGCGUUAAUCGGAUUUACUGGGCGUAAAGCGUACGUAGGCGGCUUUUUAAGUCGGAUGUGAAAUCCCUGAGCUUAACUUAGGAAUUGCAUUCGAUACUGGGAAGCUAGAGUAUGGGAGAGGAUGGUAGAAUUCCAGGUGUAGCGGUGAAAUGCGUAGAGAUCUGGAGGAAUACCGAUGGCGAAGGCAGCCAUCUGGCCUAAUACUGACGCUGAGGUACGAAAGCAUGGGGAGCAAACAGGAUUAGAUACCCUGGUAGUCCAUGCCGUAAACGAUGUCUACUAGCCGUUGGGGCCUUUGAGGCUUUAGUGGCGCAGCUAACGCGAUAAGUAGACCGCCUGGGGAGUACGGUCGCAAGACUAAAACUCAAAUGAAUUGACGGGGGCCCGCACAAGCGGUGGAGCAUGUGGUUUAAUUCGAUGCAACGCGAAGAACCUUACC